CAGAGGAACUUAGUCAUUGACUGUGGUGGGGCUGCAGGACGAUAAGAAUUCGGAAGUGAAAGAACUCAGAAGGCAGUGCCAGCAGCUGGAGUCUGUUAAACGGAGCAGUCUGUGUCAAAAGAGCUUCUCUCCAGAGUAGAAAGAUUUAUUUUCUUUUUGAAUAUAUUUUCUACACCAUGGUUUCUCAACCAGAGGUGAUACAGCACUGUCUCCAAAUGUGGAGCUGUUGUGUAUUGUCACGGGGAGGAGAAAUGCUACUGGCAUUUAGUGGAUGAUGGUCAAGGACACUAAGCAACCUGCAAUGUGUGGAUCAAUCUUACACAACGAAGGACUGUUCCACCCCAAAUGCCAAUGGUACCCUGUUGAGAAAGGAUUCAAGAUGGAUUGGCAUCAAAGUUCACUUCUUUAACAAAAGUGCUUUAUGACCUUAAUAAAAUAUUAGAGAAUGGUAGGAUCCAUGGAAGCCCUUUACAAAAACUUGUGAUAGAAAGUUUUGAUGAUAAGCAGACUUUGCAACAACUGGAAUUGCAAAAUGACCCAAUUUUACAAAGCUUCCAGAAUGCAGUUAGUGAAACAAAGAUGAAGAUAUCAGUAUCCCAGAGAGUGAAGAACAGGAGC
rnacentral:lncRNA from 1 species